rnacentral:rRNA from 1 species
AGAGAAGCUUGCUUCUCUUGAGAGCGGCGGACGGGUGAKUAAUGCCUAGGAAUCUGCCUGGUAGUGGGGGAUAACGUUCGGAAACGGACGCUAAUACCGCAUACGUCCUACGGGAGAAAGCAGGGGACCUUCGGGCCUUGCGCUAUCAGAUGAGCCUAGGUCGGAUUAGCUAGUUGGUGAGGUAAUGGCUCACCAAGGCGACGAUCCGUAACUGGUCUGAGAGGAUGAUCAGUCACACUGGAACUGAGACACGGUCCAGACUCCUACGGGAGGCAGCAGUGGGGAAUAUUGGACAAUGGGCGAAAGCCUGAUCCAGCCAUGCCGCGUGUGUGAAGAAGGUCUUCGGAUUGUAAAGCACUUUAAGUUGGGAGGAAGGGCAUUAACCUAAUACGUUAGUGUUUUGACGUUACCGACAGAAUAAGCACCGGCUAACUCUGUGCCAGCAGCCGCGGUAAUACAGAGGGUGCAAGCGUUAAUCGGAAUUACUGGGCGUAAAGCGCGCGUAGGUGGUUUGUUAAGUUGGAUGUGAAAUCCCCGGGCUCAACCUGGGAACUGCAUUCAAAACUGACUGACUAGAGUAUGGUAGAGGGUGGUGGAAUUUCCUGUGUAGCGGUGAAAUGCGUAGAUAUAGGAAGGAACACCAGUGGCGAAGGCGACCACCUGGACUAAUACUGACACUGAGGUGCGAAAGCGUGGGGAGCAAACAGGAUUAGAUACCCUGGUAGUCCACGCCGUAAACGAUGUCAACUAGCCGUUGGGAGCCUUGAGCUCUUAGUGGCGCAGCUAACGCAUUAAGUUGACCGCCUGGGGAGUACGGCCGCAAGGUUAAAACUCAAAUGAAUUGACGGGGGCC